rnacentral:rRNA from 1 species
CUGCCAGUAGUCAUAUGCUUGUCUCAAAGAUUAGCCAUGCAUGUCUCAGUACAAGCCAAAUUAAGGUGAAACCGCGAAAGGCUCAUUAAAUCAGUUAUGGUUCCUUAGAUCGUACCCACAAUUACUUGGAUAACUGUGGUAAUUCUAGAGCUAAUACAUGCAAACAGAGCUCCGACCGGAGACGGAAGGAGUGCUUUUAUUGAUCAAAACCAAUCGGUGGCGAGUUCGCUCGUCAUCGUACAACUUGGUGACUCUGAAUAACUUUACGCUGAUCGCACGGUCUCGCACCGGCGACGCAUCUUUCAAAUGUCUGCCUUAUCAACUGUCGAUGGUAGGUUCUGCGCCUACCAUGGUUGUAACGGGUAACGGGGAAUCAGGGUUCGAUUCCGGAGAGGGAGCCUGAGAAACGGCUACCACAUCCAAGGAAGGCAGCAGGCGCGCAAAUUACCCACUCCCGGCACGGGGAGGUAGUGACGAAAAAUAACGAUACGGGACUCAUCCGAGGCCCCGUAAUCGGAAUGAGUACACUCUAAACCCUUUAACGAGGAUCAAUUGGAGGGCAAGUCUGGUGCCAGCAGCCGCGGUAAUUCCAGCUCCAAUAGCGUAUAUUAAAGU